rnacentral:lncRNA from 1 species
GGGAGGGUCUUCUUCUAGAUGUUGACCCUUUAAGAAAGAAAAGAAGAACAAGAAGAAUAAGAAAAAAGAUGCAAAGUGCUGGGGCACCCAAGUCCAGUCAGACCAAGAAACCCAAGUUCGACCAGUGUCAGGUGAAAUGCUUCUACUAUAAGAAGCUGGAGCACUGAAAGAGAAACUAUCCUAGUACAUUACCUCCCUGAAUUCGAACA